rnacentral:rRNA from 1 species
UUGAACGCUGGCGGCAGGCCUAACACAUGCAAGUCGAGCGGAUGAGUGGAGCUUGCUCCAUGAUUCAGCGGCGGACGGGUGAGUAAUGCCUAGGAAUCUGCCUGGUAGUGGGGGACAACGUUUCGAAAGGAACGCUAAUACCGCAUACGUCCUACGGGAGAAAGCAGGGGACCUUCGGGCCUUGCGCUAUCAGAUGAGCCUAGGUCGGAUUAGCUAGUAGGUGAGGUAAUGGCUCACCUAGGCGACGAUCCGUAACUGGUCUGAGAGGAUGAUCAGUCACACUGGAACUGAGACACGGUCCAGACUCCUACGGGAGGCAGCAGUGGGGAAUAUUGGACAAUGGGCGAAAGCCUGAUCCAGCCAUGCCGCGUGUGUGAAGAAGGUCUUCGGAUUGUAAAGCACUUUAAGUUGGGAGGAAGGGCAGUAAGUUAAUACCUUGCUGUUUUGACGUUACCAACAGAAUAAGCACCGGCUAACUUCGUG